GAAAUUCAGUUGCAUAUUUCACACGGUGCCUAUACCACGUGACUUUUUAAGAUCUGUGUGGGGAGUAAAAUAUCAACAAAAGCGCGACGAAGGUAUGGCUCAAUGCUCCGAAUGCGGAAAAAUGUCGAAGACCAGAGCUGGAUUAUUGCGCCACAUUAGGGGACACGCUAACUCUGGAAACUAUAACUGCUGUGGGAAAGCAUUUCAGGAUGCCUACAAUCUUAGAAGGCUUCAACGAACAAAGGACCCCAAUGUCACGUGUGUGUACAGUGCGGCAGGAGCUUUGCGGACAAGUACCUACUCAUGGCUAGAAAGAAAAGUGCAAAAAGAGGGAUUGGUGAAAUGUUACCAGUGUGGGUUGGCAGUUAGGAGUGAGAAUGACCUCAGAGAGCACGUCAAUACCCACAUGCAUGACUAGUGUUACAGUAGUGAGGAGUGUUUCAAAACGUACAAACGCAGAACAAACCUUUCUCGAUACGUGAGGACUUCACAUAAAUCCGUGAAUACCGAUUAAAAAUCAUAAUGGUUUACAGUUUGUCUGUGUAACUUCAUUAUCGUUUUACGUUAUUUUAUUCGU